ACGGAACAGACUUCGACAUAAGAUUGUGUUGCCAGAUUGGGCGGUUUUCCGUCUAGUUUGAUUACUAUUGGCAAAGGUUAUUUAAGUUGUUAUACACUGAGCUACCUUGUGGAUCAUUGGCGAGGUUUCCACCUACAGAAGUUAGGUUGUAUUCUAGUGGUUUUCAAACUGCAAGGGUUUUGAGAGGGUGAGACACGAGGCAAAACCGAGGCAAAAACGCUGUGAGAGGUGCAUGCAGGUGCUCUAAAAACAACAGGAAGAGUUGCUGAUGUUUGGCAGAACCGCAGUGGCAGCACAGCUCAUGGAGGAAAUGAAGGGAGGGGUGGAAUGGAAAAGAAGAAAACAGUAAAAAAAAAAAAAAAAAAAGUUGCAGUGACCUAAUGAGAUGAAGCUGUGUAUCUACCACAUGCUUACUGUAUGGCAGUGUGGGUAAACAUCGAAACUCCAGCAGUUCACAAAGGAAACCACCUUUGGAUAUGUAAAAUUACAUCAGUGACAACAACAACAACAACAACAAC